GGGGCACUUCACUUGACGAAGGAUCUGUGCAAGCCUCAUUUUCUGGGGAGCUAUUAAACAGCUGAGUGGCAAGCAGCAUCUCAGGUUUGGCUCAGUCCAUCAGCAGUUCCCAUUCCAAUUCUAAACAUCAAAUUUCCACAGAUGUUGCAUAGAAGCAUGUUGGACAUUACCUUCCGAAACAAGUAUUGAAGAAAAGUGUAUUGAAAAUGACCUUAUUUGAAUUUCAUCCUGAGAGGCUAGAUGUAAAAUCAAGAAUAAUCCAAAUACAGAUAGCAAGACCAAUGGCUUGGUAUAAGACCUGCUGAAAUCCAGAGAUAUCCAAAGAUAUCCACAGCUCAGAAAGGACUGAUUUUAAAAAACGUAGAUGGAAUAUCAAUAAAUCUUUGCUGAAACUGCA